UAAUUAAUUGAAAAGGGCUUUUGGUGGAUGCCUUGGUAUCAGGAGACGAUGAAGGAGGUAGAAGGCUGCCAUAAGCUUCGGGGAGCUGCCAAUCAAGCUUUGAUCCGAAGAUUUCCGAAUGGGGAAACCCAUCUUGGCAAACCCAAGAUAUCCUUACUUGAAUAUAUAGAGUAAGGAGGUUAACGACGCGAACUGAAACAUCUAAGUAGCGUCAGGAAAAGAAAACGAAUGCGAUUCCCUAAGUAGUGGUGAGCGAACCGGGAACAGCCUAAACCUAUAUCAUGUAAGCCUGUGCGCGUUGUGAUAUAGGGGUAGUGGGAUAUGAAUAUUCAAGAAGUACAGAUCUUGAGUUGAAUCUGUUUAAUUUAGCUGAAUUGUUCUGGAAAGGACAGCCAAAGAAAGUGACAGCCUUGUACGCGAAAAUUUAAAUAGAUCAAUAUUUUGUACACCCGAGUACCACGGAGCACGUGAAAUUCUGUGGGAAUCCGCCCCGACCAUGGGGUAAGGCUAAAUACUACCUGAUGACCGAUAGUGAACGAGUACCGUGAGGGAAAGGUGAAAAGAACCCCGGGAGGGGAGUGAAAUAGAAACUGAAACCAAUUGUCUACAAACUGUGGAAGCGAUGUCUAAGUGCGCGCAACCACGUACCUUUUGCAUAAUGAGCCAACGAGUUAUACCUAUACUGCAAGGUUAAGCUGUGAAAAAGCGGAGCCGUAGCGAAAGCAAGUCUGAAUAGGGCGCUAGUAGUAUGGGAUAGACCCGAAACCAAGUGAGCUAUCCAUGUCCAGGGUGAAAUCUCAGUUAAAUGAGAUGGAGGCCCGAACCGGUGUAGGUUGAAAACUGCUCGGAUGAGGUGUGGAUAGGGGUGAAAGGCCAAUCAAACUUGGAAAUAGCUGGUUCUCCCCGAAAUAUAUUUAGGUAUAGCCUUGAUGGAUUUGUUGUGGCGGUAAAGCACAGUUAAAAAUUUGGGGGCGUAAGCUUACCGGUUUUUUACUAACUCUGAAUGCUACAGCUUUUGAAAUCAGGAGACAGACUGUGGGAGAUAAGUUUCAUAGUCGAGAGGGAAAGAGCCCAGACCAUCAGCUAAGGUCCCAAAAUAUCUAUUAAGUGGUAAAAGAUGUGAAAAUGCACGGACAGCCAGGAGGUUGGCUUAGAAGCAGCCAUCCUUUAAAGAAAGCGUAAUAGCUCACUGGUCAAGUGUUUUUGCGCUGAAAAACGAACGGGGCUAAAUAGAUUACCGAAGCUAUGGCUUAGUUUAAAGUUCGCUUUAAACUAGGGGUAGGGGAGCGUUCCUUGAUAGAUACAAGUCUGACCGUAAGGACAGAUCACGUGAUCAAGGAAGUGAGAAUGUUGGUAUAAGUAACGAAAAAAUAGGUGAAAUUCCUGUUCGCCGAAAGUCUAAGGUUUCCGUGAGAGCGGUUCAUCCACUCAGGGUUAGUCGAUAUCCUAAGCCGAGGCCAGUUGGAGUAGGCGAUGGACAGCAGGUUAAAUAUUCCUGCACCACUUUGUAGCGUUUGAGCGAUGGAGAGACGCAGUAGGGUAGGUUAAGUUGACGUAUGGAUGUCAAUCUAAGCAUUUAGGAGAGUUUCAUUGGCAAAUCCGUGAGACUGUUAUCUCUGAGAUGUUAUGGGUAUAUCAAUCUUUAGGGAGAGAUAUAUUUAGCUGAUCCCACACUGACCAGAAAAUCUUCUAGCAAGUUAUUAAAGUGCUCGUACCGCAAACCGACACAGGUAGACAGGAUGAGAAUUCUAAGGCGUUGAGAUAACUAUCAUUAAGGAACUCGGCAAAAUGGCCCCGUAACUUCGGGAUAAGGGGUGCCUAUAUUGUGUAUUUUGGGUUAUGCUCAGAAUAUGCAUACGUAGGUUUCAAAAAAUAGGCCCAACCGACUGUUUAACAAAAACACAAGGCUCUGCAAACUCGAAAGAGGAAGUAUAGAGUCUGACGCCUGCCCAGUGCCGGAAGGUUAACAGGAGAUGUCAGUUCUUCGGAAUAAAGCAUUGAAUCGAAGCCCCGGUAAACGGCGGCCGUAACUCUAACGGUCCUAAGGUAGCGAAGUCCCUUGUCGGGUAAAUUCCGACCCGCAUGAAUGGCGUAACGAGUUGGGCGCUGUCUUGAUGAUAGACUCAGUGAAUUUGUAGUGGCGGUGAAAAUGCCGCCUACCCGCGACAGGACGGAAAGACCCCGUGCACCUUUACUAUAACUUGGCAUUGUUUUUUGAAUUGAUUUGUGUAGGAUAGGCGGGAGACUUUGAAGUUAGGGCGCUAGCCCUGAUGGAGUCGUCCUUGAAAUACCGCUCCUAUUAAUUUGAAAAACUAACUCUGAAUACCCGUGAUCCGGGCAGAGGACAUUGUCUGGUGGGUAGUUUGACUGGGGUGGUCGCCUCCUAAAAUGUAACGGAGGCGUUCAAAGGUCUCCUCACGACGAAUAGAAAUCGUCUUUAGAGCGUAAAGGCAAAAGGAGGCUUGACUGCGAGACAAACAAGUCGAGCAGGCGCGAAAGCGGGACUUAGUGAUCCAGUGGUUCCAAAUGGAAGGGCCAUUGCUAAACGGAUAAAAGGUACGCCGGGGAUAACAGGCUGAUCUCCUCCAAGAGUCCAUAUCGACGAGGAGGUUUGGCACCUCGAUGUCGGCUCAUCGCAUCCUGGGGCUGAAGAAGGUCCCAAGGGUUUGGCUGUUCGCCAAUUAAAGCGGUACGCGAGCUGGGUUCAGAACGUCGUAAGACAGUUCGGUCCUUAUCCGUCGUGGGCGUAGGGUAUUUGAGAGGGGCUGUCCCUAGUACGAGAGGACCGGGAUGGGCAAACCUCUGGUGUUCCAGUUGUUCUCCAAGAGCAACGCUGGGUAGCUAGGUUUGUAAGAGAUAACCGCUGAAAGCAUCUAAGUGGGAAACUCGCCUCAAGAUAAGAUACCCCUGUUAAGAACGCUUAGUGCGUUGGCUUCGGUCAAUAAUCUAAAAAUACUUAACAAUUAUUAAGAUCCCUUGAAGACUACGAGGUUGAUAGGCUGGGUGUGUAAGUGCAGUAAUGUAUUGAGCUAACCAGUACUAAUAGAUCGAAUGUUUUAUUUAC
rfam:Candidate division TM6 bacterium GW2011_GWF2_30_66 TR12_C0001, whole genome shotgun sequence.